GCCCCUUUCCCCUCACAGUUCCCGCCCUUUCCUUGGCCCCGCCCUUUCCUUGGCCCCGCCCUCCCCGUUCGGGGUCGGGAACGGGCGAGGAGGAGGAGGGAGGGAGGAAGAGGCGCAGCGGCAGCAGGAGCGGGAGGAGAAGACGAGCGGAGGGAGCGGCGGCUCCAGCGUUCCCUGAAGUGGCGGCCCCGCCGGGAUCAUCGCCCCCGAUCCCGCAGCCAAGGAGCCGAGCUGACAAAUCCCCGCGGCAGCAGCUGGUGGGAGAGGCCGUUUUGAGCGGCUCCAUGAUGCAGGAAUGCAACGGGGAGGAAAAGGGCCGGAGAUCCCUGAGGAGGAGGGGCUGCAAAGGCAGAUGGCGAGGAUGUGAGGAGGAAAGAGCCAGCCUGGGCCGGGAAGGCGGCUGGAGAUGGAGCCGGAGCUCAGAGCUGGUGGUGCAUGAGCAGCUUCCUGAUGGGGAGAAGCCCCACAAGUGCUUGGAGUGUGGGAAGAGCUUCAUCUAGCACAGCAGCCUGCCCCGUCAGCAGCAGACCCACACCAGGGAACAGCCCUACGAGUGUGGGGAAUGUGGGAAGAGCUUCUGAGUCAGCUCCAACCUGAUCCAGAACAUCCACACUGGGGAGAGGCCAUGCAAGUGUGGGAAAUGUGGGAAGGGCUUUAGGUACCUUGCCUACCUGAUCAUCCACCUAAAAAUCCACGGAGGGUAACGGUUCUACAAGUGUGAAGAAUGUAGCAAAAGCUUCAGCAAGAGCUCCAGCCUGGUUAUCCACCGAAAAAUCCACACUGUGGAGAGGCCCUACAAGCAUUCCCAGUGUGGGAAGGGGUUUUGGGUCAGCACCUGUCUCCUCGUGCACCAGCCGAUUGACUCAGAGGAGAGGCCCUUCCACUGCCCCAGCUGUGGGAAGGGCUCCAAGCACAACUCCACCCUUAUCAGGCACCAGCACAUCCACAGCAGGGAGAGGCCCUGCGAGUGUCCCCAGUUUUGGAAGAGCCUCCAAUUCCAUCCCCCACUGGAGGGGCUAUGUUGGACAGAGCCCUGGUGACUCACAUUUCCUAUGAUCCAUGUUGGGAAGGCACCUGGCUGGUUAUAGUUUUGAUUUGGCCUUAAUUUUUUUCUCUUCUCCCUCUCUUUGCACUUCAGAGGUCAAGAGGGAUUGAUCUGUCCCCUCAAAGUAACUGCA
rnacentral:lncRNA from 1 species